AUUGAACGCUGGCGGCAGGCCUAACACAUGCAAGUCGAACGAGUGGCGGACGGGUGAGUAAUGUCUGGGAAACUCUCCGUUGGAGGGGGAUAACUACUGGAAAAGGUAGCUAAUACCGCAUACCAUCGGAGAUGCCCAGAUGGGAUUAGCUCGUAGGUGAGGUAACGGCUCACCUAGGCGACGCUCCCUAGCUGGUCGGAGAGGAUGACCAGCCACACUGGAACUGAUGCACGGUCCAGACGCCUACGGGAUGCAGCAGUGGGGAAGAUGGCACAAUGGGCGCAAGACUGAUGCAGCCAUGCCGCGUGUAUGAAGAAUGCCUGCGGGUUGUAAAGUACUUUCAGCGGGUAGGCGUUACCCGCAGAAGAAGCACCGGCUAACUCCGUGCCAGCCGCCGCGGUAAUAC
rnacentral:rRNA from 1 species